UACGUAGGGUGCGAGCGUUGUCCGGAAUUACUGGGCGUAAAGAGCUCGUAGGUGGUUUGUCGCGUUGUUCGUGAAAACUCACAGCUUAACUGUGGGCGUGCGGGCGAUACGGGCAGACUGGAGUACUGCAGGGGAGACUGGAAUUCCUGGUGUAGCGGUGGAAUGCGCAGAUAUCGGGAGGAACACCAGUGGCGAAGGCGGCCGGCUGGGGGUGACCUGACGCUGAGGCGCGAAAGCGUGGGGAGCGAACCGG
rnacentral:rRNA from 1 species